CGUGUAGGCGGUUUGCCGAGUCAGAUGUGAAAGCCCCGGGCUUAACCUGGGAACUGCAUUUGAUACUGGCAGGCUAGAGGUUGGAAGAGGAGAGUGGAAUUCCCAGUGUAGAGGUGAAAUUCGUAGAUAUUGGGAAGAACACCAGUGGCGAAGGCGGCUCUCUGGUCCACACCUGACGCUGAGGCGCGAAAGCGUGGGGAGCAAAACA
rnacentral:rRNA from 1 species